GCUUCGGUGGCCUAGUGGUUCUAGCGUCCGCCUCGGAUGCGGGAGGUUGCGGCUUCAAUCCCCGGCCGAGACA